AUGCCAAGCUUGUAUUCUAAACCACUACUCUGUUAAGUACCAUUAGUUAAAAAUAGGAAAUACUACAAAGACUAGCUUUCUAUGGUUUUUAGAGAAUUAUUUCUUAGCUUAAGGACACAAGGAAUUUAUAUGGUAGGUUAUCACCAACUGUUGAGGCUACUGCUAGGAAAAACCACGUCGUGCUGAUGAGCUCAGGGAGAUGCCUGUGCCAUCACUUUCAGCACAAAACCACUGCAGAAGUGUGUGCCAGUCAUGGUUCUGUCGUUGUUUUUCUGGAGUCUAGACAGGGUGUUGCUUCCUACCUCUUUUCUGCUGGCUGGUGACCUUCCCUUUUUCAUGCUUCCUGCUUUCUUCCCCACCUCCUCUAAAAUGAGCUUCCCUUGUUGAUUCCCACCACAGCCUUUUCCUUCUCUAGGAAAAACCUUAGAUAAUUAUUCCUGCCCCUCUCCCAAAAUAUAAUCCUGCUCUUUAAGGAGGGAUUUUUUUUUUUUCAUUCCUUUGGAUUGGAAAAAUGCUCCUUUGGUUCAUGCUAGAGCCUGACUUUUAAAAGCUUUCUGAGAGGAUGUCUCACGGUUAACCCUGGGGAGAUGUUUCACUAUCUGGCAGCCCUUCUCAUCACCGACAUUCAGUUUAAAUCUCUCUGUCCUUAAUUUUACCCCAAUUUAGUCCUUCAACUCAGCCCAGUAAUGACUCUGACUGUUGUUUACUCUGUGAACACUUUCCAAUGACAAUCACGUCUCCUCUCGGUCGCCACUCAGCAGAGCUGGCCAUUUGAGAAUCUUUUAAUCAUUUCUUUUUGUACGUCAGUCUCUUUGCCCUCUGAGUCAUUUGUGCUCUCCUCUUAACUUCCUUCAGUUUGAGCUCAAUUGGAAAUAUGAUUAGCAUAUAGAUUUUUCCUGCUUCUGGCAAGGAUUUUUACACUGGAAAAAAGAGGCUAUACGUUUUGUAGAAAACUCAAGGUCUGACCCACCAAACUCCACUAUUGCCUUCCUGGACCAAUAUCCUUCUUCAAUAGCCAUUUUAUACAACGUUUUUUUCUGAGCUCAGAGAUAUCAAGAGGCAAAGCGGGGAAAGGAUGCAGUAAAAUUGAACAAACACAGGUUAUCCUACAUUCUGAAGAUGGGGCACAUUUAUCAGGAAUAAGAAACAGGCACGUGGACUAUAAAUAGGGAGCUGGCAUGGUGGUUAAAUUUUUCUAAAACAGUCAUAUUAAUGUGUUCAAAAAUCCACUGCUGAGUCUCAGAGAGAGGGUCACAUCUGGCCAUGAAAAUCUUCUUC